CAUUAUGGAACUUUCAAGAUGUCGAAGAACUUUCAAGAAUAUUACAAAAUAAAGUCAUAGUGAUUAGGAUCAUCUUAGCAUCUCUAGAACUUUCUAGGCACAUGAACUAGAUAUUAGAAUCUCUAGAUAGUUCUUGUAAUUAAGUAGUAGCAUUAAAUGUUUCUAGAUAUUUCUAGUUUGUAAUAUAGAGCCUUCCUAGUGUAGUAUAAAUAAGGCUCACCACUAAGUGUUUAGGCACAUUCAAAUCAUCAAGCAUUGAAUCAUUCAAGUAAUAUAACUUUUCUUUGAGAAUAUUAGAGUGUUUCUCUAUUUUCUCUACCUUUCCUUUUGUCCCUGAGCCAUUUAAUCAAGAACAACUUGAAGCUCUCCAGAAAAUGUUCUCUCAGAUGUCUUCCCAAAGCAACACCAAAGUUAAGGGGUGAAAGAAAAGUGAUGUGCACUUCGACCGCUAUUCUAUUUUUCUGAAGAUAUAAAGUGCUUGGACGGGAAGUGGCUUCAAUGUCCGACUUUCAUUCUUGUCAUAGAAUGAGAACUACCAAGCUCAAUUCAUUACCAGAAGAGGGAAUUGCAUAUCAGAAACUGCCAAUUGUGAGAAGCAAAUUAGAAGAGGAAGCAAAGAAAAUAGUGGUGCAAGAUUGUUCACAUUUCCUCCAUAGUUAUCAACAACAAAAUGAUCGCAUGAGUGUUGUGUCCAGAUUUGGUGGCUUAGUCUCAAGGGUGAUUGUGUGACUGGAACCAAGAUGAAAGCAGCAACAUCCUCUUUUAAUUAAAUGCAAUACUUCUUUGUAAUUAUUCAUCUAUAAACUUCCUCUUUGAUAGUUUUUUUUAGCAUUAGUCCUUUAAAAUACAUGUGUUCAUGACAUAACUGAUAAAUUGUUUAACUUCAACCUCACAGAAUCCGUAUACUGUUGAGCUAAUGGAUGAGAAAUAUCGUCUUCUUUGAAAAUCUAAGCUUGUUUUGGUCCUUUGUGUUGUGCGUUGUGAUUUUUGUUUGAGCCCUGAGGUUCUCAGACAUAGCAAGUAUUGAUUCAGAAAAGGAGAUAAUUGAUGGAGCAACUCAUAGAAGAAGCAAUUGUCUGUCAUAGUUGAUUUCCCAGAAAUUUCUUUGCCACCAAGCGCUGGAUGCAGUAGAGGAUCAAUCCCUACUCAUGAAAAUCAAAAAGGAGAAGUUUUUUCUUAUAAGCUGAAUAUUUGUUGUAAUUUCUCAAGCUAUCUGUAUUCAUUCAAAUUAAGCAACUUAUUAUGGGUUUUGUGAUAGAAGCACUUUUUCCAGCUUAUGUGGAGGUGUUGUUUGAAAAUAUUCUUUCUGAUACUUGGUGAAAACAUUAUUUAAUUUCAUUUUGCCACAUGCUCAUUCUGAGUGAAUAAAAUUUUCAAAAUGGAAGAAAAUACUGUGCACAGUUAUUCAGAAAUUGAUUUGUUGCUACAAUACCAUUUGUAUCUGAAUAAGCUAUGAUACCAUUAAGCCUGGCAAUGAAAGAUAAGCUAUUAUUUCACAUGAGCAGUGGUCUAAAAGACAAUUAAUUUACCACAUAGAGACUUUUUUAAUUUGAUUUAGUAAACUUCUGGAAAGCUUGAACUAUGUACCUCAAUCAACUUAAAUUCAUCUGGAAGUAAAUGUAUAGCAAUAGCUUAUUUAUAUGCUGAGAGGAAGUGAAGAGGUGGAGAAAAGAGAAAUCCUAUGAAAAGAAUGUAUGACCCAUCGCGACUUUCCUCUAUUAUUUAUGGGAUCUAUGCUUGACUUUCCUCUCCAUCGCGACUGGUUUGAUCCCAUCGUUCUUCCCAAUGUCUGGUCGCACGUUUAAAGUCUUCAGUUUCUCAAUAAGGGCAUGUGUGAUAAUCUUGUCA